rnacentral:rRNA from 1 species
AGAGUUUGAUCCUGGCUCAGAAUCAACGCUGGCGGCGUGCCUAACACAUGCAAGUCGAACGAGAAAGGGUAGCAAUACCUGAGUAAAGUGGCGCACGGGUGAGUAACACGUGACUAACCUACCCUGGAGUGGGGGAUAACUGAGGGAAACCUUAGCUAAUACCGCAUAAUACCCACGGGUCAAAGGAGCAAUUCGCUCCAGGAGGGGGUCGCGGCCGAUUAGUUAGUUGGCGGGGUAAUGGCCCACCAAGACGAUGAUCGGUAUCCGGCCUGAGAGGGCGCACGGACACACUGGAACUGAAACACGGUCCAGACUCCUACGGGAGGCAGCAGUGGGGAAUUUUGCGCAAUGGGGGAAACCCUGACGCAGCAACGCCGCGUGGAGGAUGAAGUCCUUCGGGACGUAAACUCCUUUCGAUCGGGACGAUUAUGACGGUACCGGAAGAAGAAGCCCCGGCUAACUUCGUGCCAGCAGCCGCGGUAAUACGAGGGGGGCGAGCGUUGUUCGGAAUUAUUGGGCGUAAAGGGUGCGUAGGCGGUUUGGUAAGUCUUGUGUGAAAUCUACAGGCUCAACUUGUAGUCUGCACGAGAAACUGCCGGGCUUGAGUGUGGGAGAGGUGAGUGGAAUUCCUGGUGUAGCGGUGAAAUGCGUAGAUAUCAGGAGGAACACCUGUGGCGAAAGCGGCUCACUGGACCAUAACUGACGCUGAUGCACGAAAGCUAGGGGAGCAAACAGGAUUAGAUACCCUGGUAGUCCUAGCCCUAAACGAUGAUUGCUUGGUGUGGUGGGUACCCAAUCCCACUGUGCCGCAGCUAACGCGAUAAGCAAUCCGCCUGGGGAGUACGGUCGCAAGGCUGAAACUCAAAGGAAUUGACGG